rnacentral:lncRNA from 1 species
GGUUUGUCGCUGGAAGCUGUCCCUCUUUUCCUAAAAUCACGUGUUUCCCGACAGAUAUCUACCCAAGGACAAAGCCACCGCCUCCUCGCCCGCAGCCUGGUAACAGUGGAGGCUUCCUGAGCGACUCGGACCUCAUCGACGGCGGCCGCUACCCGCCCAGGCCUCCUGCAGGAGGCGGCGGUGGCGGGUUCCAGCCGGGGCACGACAGCUACGGGCGAGGAGGGCGCAACAUACCCGGCUCACCUGGCAUUAAUUAUGGUAAUGGAGGUCUUUCAUAAAAGCCAAAGCAGGAGAAGCUCUCCUGCUGAGGAGCUAACCCCCGCGUGGGCGCUGCCUGUCCGCCUGGGUUUCUGAUCGGCGUCCUCAAUGGGCACCGAAGCUGGGGAGGGGUUUGCAUGGGACGCGGGACACAAUCCAUC